AGCUUAAGAAAAGCCUCCCGUUUACACCGGUAUUAUGCCUGUUAAAAUCAGGCCGUCUUGAG
rnacentral:tRNA from 1 species